AAGUGGAGCAAUCCAUGAGUAAAGUGGCGACCGGGUGAGUAACACGUGACUAACCUACCUUUCAGUGGGGAAUAACCUCGGGAAACCGUGGCUAAUACCGCAUAAUGUCUUCGGACCAAAGGAGCAAUUCGCUGAAAGAGGGGGUCGCGGCCGAUUAGCUAGUUGGCGGGGUAACGGCCCACCAAGGCAAUGAUCGGUAGCCGGCCUGAGAGGGCGCACGGCCACACUGGAACUGAAACACGGUCCAGACUCCUACGGGAGGCAGCAGUGGGGAAUUUUGCGCAAUGGGGGAAACCCUGACGCAGCAACGCCGCGUGGAGGAUGAAGCCCCUUGGG
rnacentral:rRNA from 1 species